GGGCCCGCACAAGCGGAGGAACAUGUGGUUUAAUUCGAUGAUACGCGAGGAACCUUACCCGGGCUUAAAUUGCAUUUGAAUAUGUAGGAAACUAUAUAGCCGCAAGGCAAAUGUGAAGGUGCUGCAUGGUUGUCGUCAGCUCGUGCCGUGAGGUGUCGGCUUAAGUGCCAUAACGAGCGCAACCCUUAUCUUCAGUUACUAACAGGUCAUGCUGAGGACUCUGGAGAGACUGCCGUCGUAAGAUGUGAGGAAGGUGGGGAUGACGUCAAAUCAGCACGGCCCUUACGUCCGGGGCUACACACGUGUUACAAUGGGGGGUACAGAAGGCAGCUACCUGGUGACAGGAUGCUAAUCCCAAAAACCUCUCUCAGUUCGGAUCGAAGUCUGCAACCCGACUUCGUGAAGCUGGAUUCGCUAGUAAUCGCGCAUCAGCCAUGGCGCGGUGAAUACGUUCCCGGGCCUU
rnacentral:rRNA from 1 species